AACAUAUAAGUAAGCCGGAGGAUAAGAAACUAAAUAGGAUUCCCUCAGUAAUGGCGAAUGAACAGGGAUAAGCUCAGCAUGGAAAUUGGGGCCCUCGGCCUUGAAUUGUAGUCUUGAGAUGUGUUACCAACGGAGGCGCAGAUGUAAGCCUCUUGGAAAAGAGCGUCAGGGAGGGUGAGAGUCCCGUAUGUCAUCUGCAGUUCUCUUGUGCACGGUGCAUGUUCUAAGAGUCACGUUCCUCGGGAUUGGAGCGCAAAUUGGGUGGUAAAUUUCAUCUAAAGCUAAAUAUUGGUUCGAGACCGAUAGCAAACAAGUACCAUGAGGGAAAGGUGAAAAGGACUUUGAAAAGAGAGUUAAAAGUGCCUGAAAUUGCUGAAAGGGAAGCGAAUGGAACCAGUUGUUCUUGGUGAGUAUUGGUGUUGUCUAAAGUGAUGGCUUGCCACUUCAACGCAAGUGUGGUGGCAGGUUUUGAUCUGGAUGCGAUACUGCUUCUCGCCUUGCAUGUCAACGUCAGUUCAUAAUUGGAGGAAAACUCUAAGGACAUGGUAAUUCGCUUCCGAGUGACUGAAUGUCCUCAGUUGAACUCAUUUUUGAACUGCUCUCUGUGUGUCUGGUAGCACUGCUUCAUGUGCUUGCCUGCGAUCUUCUGCUCUGCAUGAAGGUUGUUGGUGCCAGGAGCAUGUCCUUGACAUUAGAACGAUAC
rnacentral:rRNA from 1 species